UACGUAGGUGGCAAGCGUUAUCCGGAAUUAUUGGGCGUAAAGAGCGCGCAGGUGGUUAAUUAAGUCUGAUGUGAAAGCCCACGGCUUAACCGUGGAGGGUCAUUGGAAACUGGUUGACUUGAGUGCAGAAGAGGGAAGUGGAAUUCCAUGUGUAGCGGUGAAAUGCGUAGGGAUAUGAAGGAACACCAGUGGCGAAGGCGGCUUCCUGGUCUGCAACUGACACUGAGGCGCGAAAGCGUGGGGAGCAAACAGG
rnacentral:rRNA from 1 species